rnacentral:rRNA from 1 species
UNUGACUUGAGUGCAGAAGGGGAGAGUGGAAUUCCAUGUGUAGCGGUGAAAUGCGUAGAUAUAUGGAGGANCACCAGUGGCGAAAGCGGCUCUCUGGUCUGUCACUGACGCUGAGGCUCGAAAGCGUGGGUAGCGAACAGGAUUAGAUACCCUGGUAGUCCACGCCGUAAACGAUGAGUGCUAGGUGUUAGGCCCUUUCCGGGGCUUAGUGCCGGAGCUAACGCAAUAAGCACUCCGCCUGGGGAGUACGACCGCAAGGUUGAAACUCAAAGGAAUUGACGGGGGCCCGCACAAGCGGUGGAGCAUGUGGUUUAAUUCGAAGCAACGCGAAGAACCUUACCAGGUCUUGACAUCCCGAUGCUAUUCUUAGAGAUAGGAAGUUACUUCGGUACAUCGGAGACAGGUGGUGCAUGGUUGUCGUCAGCUCGUGUCGUGAGAUGUUGGGUUAAGUCCCGCAACGAGCGCAACCCUUAUUGUUAGUUGCCAUCAUUAAGUUGGGCACUCUAGCGAGACUGCCGGUAAUAAACCGGAGGAAGGUGGGGAUGACGUCAAAUCAUCAUGCCCCUUAUGACCUGGGCUACACACGUGCUACAAUGGUCGGUACAACGAGUUGCGAGCCGGUGACGGCAAGCUAAUCUCUGAAAGCCGAUCUCAGUUCGGAUUGGAGGCUGCAACUCGCCUCCAUGAAGUCGGAAUCGCUAGUAAUCGCGGAUCAGCACGCCGCGGUGAAUACGUUCCCGGGCCUUGUACACACCGCCCGUCACACCACGAGAGUUUGUAACACCCGAAGUCGGUGAGGUANCCUUUUAGGG